rnacentral:rRNA from 1 species
GGCGAACGUUAGCGACGGGCUUAACACAUGCAAGCCGAGCGAGAAAGCGGCUUCGGCCGUGAGUACAGCGGCGGACGGGUGAGUAACACGUGGAUAACCUACCCUUCAGCGGGGGAUAACUGUCCGAAAGGAUAGCUAAUACCGCGUACGUCGGCGAGACCUCCGGGUUUUGUCGGGAAAGCAGCCCUCUCCAUGGAAGGUUGCACUGAAGGAUGGGUCCACGUCCCAUAAGCUAGUUGGUGAGGUAAUGGCUCACCAAGUCUAAGACGGGUAGCUGGGCGGAGGGGAUGAUCAGCCACACUGGAACUGAGACACGGUCCAGACUCGUACGGGAGGCAGCAGUGGGGAAUAUUGGGCAAUGGGCGCAAGCCUGACCCAGCCACGCCGCGUGAGUGAUAAAGGCCUUCGGGUCGUAAAGCUCUGUGGGGAGAGACGAAAACACGCUGGCUAACAUCCAGCGGCUUGACGGUAUCUCCUUAGCAAGCACCGGCUAACUCUGUGCCAGCCGCCGCGGUAA